rnacentral:rRNA from 1 species
GACGAACGCUGGCGGCGUGCUUAACACAUGCAAGUCGAACGGAAAGGCCCUGCUUUCGUGUGGAGCUCGAGUGGCGAACGGGUGAGUAACACGUGAGUAACCUGCCUUUGACUUGGGGAUAACUUCAGGCAACUGCUGCUAACACAGGCUAGGAGCUCCAGCUGCUUGGUGGGGGUCGGACAGCAUCGGCGGUUGGGGAUGGACUCGCGGCUUAUCAGCUUGUUGGUGGGGGACUGGCCUACGAAGGCUUCGACGGGUGGCCGGCCUGAGAGGGUGACCGGCCACAUUGGGACUGAGAGACGGCCCAGACUCCUACGGGGGGCGGCAGUGGGGAAUAUUGCACAAUGGGCGGAAGCCUGAUGCAGCAACGCCGCGUGCGGGAUGACGGCCUUCGGGUUGUAAACCGCUUUCGCCUGUGACGAAGCGUGAGUGACGGUAAUGGGUGAAGAAGCACCGGCUAACUACGUG